GCCCUCCUCCCUCUCUAAAAGAAAGAAGGGAGAGAGGAAGAAAUAAGAUCACUCCCAGAUUGGUGGAAAUGUUAAAUUGUAUAGCCAGUCUAGGAAACUGACAAUUUCUUAAAUAGCUAGAUAUGCAACUAUCAUAUCAACCAGCAAUUAUACUCCUGGGCAUUUAACUUAUUUUCACACAAAUACUUGAAUAUAAGUAUGCAUAAUAAUAAGCAACUGGAAAUAAUCUACAGGUCUUCCACUGGGUGAAUGAUUCAUCUGAUAUGUUUAGUCAAUGAAAUACUACACAGCAUUAAAAACAACACAUUGAUACAUGCCAACAACUUGGAUGAAUUUCCAGAGACUAUGCUGAGUGUAAAAAAGAAAUAGCCAAUCCCAAAAGGCUACUUACUGUGUGAUUCCAUUUAUAUAAAAUUUUUGAAAUGACAAAGUUAUAAAAAUGGGGAAUGGAUUAGUAGCAAGGUGUUAUGGAGGUGGUGGGUGUGACUGUAAAAGGACAACAUUGAGGGGACCUUUAAUGGAAAUAUUCUGUGUCUUGACUAUCAGUAAGCUGGUUGUUGUAUUGUACUAUAGUUUUUGCAAGAUAUUAUUACCAUUGGAGGAAUCUUGGUAAAGGAUACACGAGAUCUUUAUUUCUUACAACUGAAUGUGAAUUUAAAUCCUCAAAAAAUUCGAGAAAAAAACUAAAGGCAGAGUAACAUCUAGUUCCAUCUCAGGGAACAAUCUGGGGAAAUGUCAUGGAAAGUUGUGUACUUCUGAUAAAGAAUGAAGUCCUGAGAGCAAGUAUUUGAGGUAUAUGAAGGAAUCAAUUGAGUUUGCAAACUUGGGAAUUUCUGGAAGUGCUGCAGACUUAAUUCAACUGGUUACACAACCAGUGCCAGUAAGUGAAGUGGUUCUACAUACAUGUUGACUCUUUUAUUUUUCCCAUCAGCUUUGCUGCCUGAAAGAGACUUCAUAUUGAGAAAUGGCAGUGCUCACCCAUGAAAAGGUUGAUGGUGAUUCAGCUGAUCUAGAACUGGGGUCAACUAGGAAGCUUUGCUUGAGGCGAUGGGUUGACAUUAGCUCUGUUUCAUGGUCUUAUAAUUAUGGAGGCAGCAUCAACACUGUGGUUGUUAAUUGUUUGGGUCUUAGAGCCAGACUAUGUGGGUUGGAAACCUGUCUCAUUCUCUCAAUAGCUGUGUGACCUGGGGCGUAACUGCCCUGGUUACCUCCAGAUUUCUCUUCUGCGUGAUGGAGAUGAUAACACCUUCCUCAUAGAGAAGUUAUUAGGUUUAAAUGAGGUAAUAUAUGUAUUGCUUUUAGAUCAGAAUUUGGCACAUAGUGCUCAAAAAUAGUAACUAUUAUUUUAGUGCAUACAAGAUUAAUGCUUUUUGCCUUUGACCUAUUUUAAAUACUUUUUCUAAGGUUUCCAAGCAAACACAUUUAACAUUUUAAUGGCUUAUAUACUAUACCAUGGUUUGCUCAGUAUUUCCUCAACUAUUGGAUAUUCAUAUUAUUACUAGUUUUUAAAAAAUAUAUGAAUUUUUAAAGUGUAUCACUUUCAUUCAGGCUCCUCUCCUCCCAGCACCCCACAUUUCGUAUUAUUCCUCUGAGUUACGUUUCCAGAAGUUGAGAUUUCUGUUUCAUAAGGCAUGAAAAUUUUAAUGGAUAUGAAUUAUAUUGCAAAAUCCUCAUCCAAAAAGUCUAAACCAUUUUACAGUGUUAACUUAAGUCGGCCCUCACUUGUAUUGGUCUUGCUAGUAUUUCCUGCCUUUGUGUGCUUAUCAUCUCCAAGUCCUGUCUGAGGUAGAAGACUUCCCAAUCUGCUGCUGUGGUCUUCUCUUGCAGUUCGAUGCCUGACACCCAGUUCUUAUUCAUUUCACAUUAGAAUAAUUAUUCUUAAUCAUUGUUUUUCUUACAACACUGUUAGAAUUUUUCCUCUGUGGCUUCUACUUUUUGAAUACAGUUAAAAGUUUUUAUUAAUUAAAAUAAACUGUUCGACCAAUUGUCAUCUACUAAGCCUAUGAUUUCUGUCUUAUUUUAUUAGGAGGCUGUUCAGCCUAGUUCCAAGAAUGCAGGCAUCCGAGUCAGAUCCAGUUUGAAUCAUGUUGCUAUUAUUUACCGGAGUUGUAUAUCCUCAGGUAAAUUCUCUGAACUUCAAGUCCUCAUUGAGGAUAAGAACAACUACACCAACCUCCGGUGGUCACUGUGACAUAAGGAGUGUAAAAUCUUGGCUGGCAUUAGAUACUGAAUAAAUAUUAAUUUGCUCUUUCGAUCACUA